AGGAAUUUAGGAUAGUACCAGACCAAGGACCUUCAAAGCCCUAAGCAGAAGUGAAAAUCUUCUAAUUCCUG
rnacentral:tRNA from 1 species